rnacentral:misc_RNA from 1 species
UUCACGUAACAGAAAUAAGAUGUUCUUUACGAACACAUAAAUAUCUAUAUUACACAUUGCAGUAAAACACGAAACUGUAAGUGCACGCUAGAGACGAGAGAAGAAAACGUAUCAGUCAACGAAUAUCAUGCUGACGAUGGACUGCUUGAUUUAUUCCACAACCGCGCUGGUAAUAUGCCUCAGCCUCUUCUACGUGUACGCCAAAUAUAAGCUGUCCUACUGGAGUAGACGUGGAGUAAAGAGCCCACCGACGCAUCUGUUAUUCGGCAAUUUCAAGGAGUGUGUCACCCUGCAAAAACCACCGGCUGAAAUAUUGCGUGAAAUCUUCAACAGUGCCGAUUCGGAUGAUCCCUACAUCGGUUUUUAUAUCUUUCACAAGCCCAUGCUGCUCUUGCGGGACCAUGAUCUGAUCAAACAGGUGAUGAUCAAGGAUUUCGAUGUCUUUCCAAAUCGACGAUUCGGUUCAGGCCUAGAGAGAGACGCGGUAGGUCUAAACAGCAUCCUAUCCAUAAAGCAGCCAAGAUGGAGAUACCUGAGAAACAAACUCACUCCUAUUUUGACUGGGCAGAAACUAAAAAAUAUGGUAUCACUAAUGACAGAAUGCGGGAAAUGCAUGUUGAAUUUCAUCGAGAAAUUGCCCACGGACGAAGCUGGUAGGAAAGAGUGGGAAGCAAAAGAUAUGGGCAGUCGUUACACCAAUGAUGUCAUAGCUUCCCUGGCGUUUGGCAUUAGCAUAAAUUCUUUCGACGAGAAAGAAACUAACUUCUUGAACCAUGGUGCGGGGAUCUUCAGAGGAUUCAUGCGCAGCAUUAUAUUUAUUAUCUUUUUCUUCAUUCCCGAAUGGGAUUUCUUGACCGCACCAUUCAUUAAAAAACCGGCAAACUAUUUUCGCGAGAUUUUUUGGGACUCCAUGAAUACCAGAGAAAGGCUGGCGUUCAAGAGAGGAGACAUGAUAGAUUCCAUGUUGGCGCUCAAAAAUGGAGAACAGAAUCCCAUUUACAAGUUCGAAGGCGACAAUUUACUGGCACAUUCUCUUAGUUUUUACACCGCCGGAUUCGAAGCUACCGCGACGACAAUCGCUUUUGCCCUAUAUGAUUUGGCACGUUACCCCGAGCAUCAGGAUACUUUGUACAACGAGAUGCAGACACACCUAACGGGAAAAGAAUUGACCAUGGAUCUGAUAAAUGAACUGUCUUUUUUGGACUGCGUUAUAAUGGAAUCUCUGAGAUUACAUCCUCCUCUACCCGUUACUGAUAGAAUAGCUAUAAAGAAUUAUGAGUUGCCAAAUACUGGAUUAAUAAUUGAAAAGGAUGUGCCAGUGUACGUUUCUAUAAAUUCAACGAAUCAAGAUCCCAAAUACUUUUCAAAUUCGCGUGACUUUAUUCCGUUGAGAACAGAAAGUAAAGAGAACAAAAAGUUUUACGAAUCCUUGGCAUUUGGUAUUGGACCUCGAGCGUGUAUAGGACAAAGAUUGGGUCUAUUAAUGACAAAAAUUGCAUUAAUUAUGAUUUUCUCAAAUUAUACUGUAUCUUAUGAAAAUAUUUCACGUGACAAUGAUGCUAUUCACGUAUUUACAUACGCAGCUAAUGGUUUAUACGUGAAAUUCAAAAAACGUAAUUAGGUUUUUACGUUUCUUGCUUAAAACCAGCUAUCUUUGAUUCAAUUGAAAAAAAGUAUAUCCAAUAAUUCGUAACAUUAUCCAUAACAGUAUUCAUAAACAAUGCUAGUAGAAAAUAUUAGGUAGAAAAGAUAUUAAAAAACACGAAACAUUAAAUAUACAAGAUUGUAUAUUUACAAAUGUAUAUAACAGAAUAUAUCUCUUUAAAUAAUAUAAUACCAUACAUUUGUUAAAAAACUAAUGUAUUGUUACACAUAUCUUUUGUAAAUACGAAUGAAAGGUGUACGAUUCUGUAUUCAGGUAACUAUGCAUUAUACAAAAUUUCAAUUAUACACGAAUUUUAUGUCAUGUA